rnacentral:rRNA from 1 species
CCUACGGGUGGCAGCAGUGAGGAAUAUUGGUCAAUGGGCGUGAGCCUGAACCAGCCAAGUAGCGUGAAGGAUGACUGCCCUAUGGGUUGUAAACUUCUUUUAUAAAGGAAUAAAGUGAGGCACGUGUGCUUUUUUGUAUGUACCUUAUGAAUAAGGAUCGGCUAACUCCGUGCCAGCAGCCGCGGUAAUACGGAGGAUCCGAGCGUUAUCCGGAUUUAUUGGGUUUAAAGGGAGCGUAGAUGGGUUGUUAAGUCAGUGGUGAAAGUUUGUGGCUCAACCGUAAAAUUGCAGUUGAUACUGGCAGGCUUGAGUACGGUUGAGGUAGGCGGAAUUCGUGGUGUAGCGGUGAAAUGCUUAGAUAUCACGAAGAACUCCGAUUGCGAAGGCAGCUUACUAAACUGCCACUGACGUUGAUGCUCGAAAGUGUGGGUAUCAAACAGGAUUAGAUACCCUAGUAGUC